rnacentral:lncRNA from 1 species
UUUUUGUUAUCUUCAAUAUUUAAUUAAAAAAUUAAUUAAAAAUAAUAAAAAAUAUAAAAUUUUGAAAUUACAUGUAAAACCACAAUUACUAUUAAUGCAUCCAAAUAACUAUAACUGAAAUUAAAUAUUAUAAAAUACGAUGAUAUUAAAAAUAAAAAACAUAUCCAAUCCAUUAAGUUAAAUGUAUUUUACGCUAAAGGAGUAAAUGUCUUUUACCAAAAGAUCCAAGAGUGCUUUGCUUAGCAUCCUAGUAAAAAUAGUCUUUUCUGUGGCUUGGUAUGACGGAAAGUGGUGGUGUCGACGGUUUCGAAGGGGAGGAAACCUCCCUCCUGGCAGAAGAACUUAUUCAAUUAUCGGUAAAAAGCUCAAUGAUUGUACCAAGUGAAAAGCCAACUCUACUCUGUACUAUCUGGACAAAGAAGUCCUAUAAUCCGGAUAGCUUCAGGGCACAAAUGAAAAGUAUAUGAAAAACAAGGAAAAAAUUUAAGAUCCAAUUGGCAGGACAAAAUUUAUUCUUGAUCGUGUUUGAAGAUGAGGAAGAUUUGGAGAUAGUUUUGGAGGGCAGCCAUGGUUAUUUCGAAAGAAUUUAGUGCUUUUUAAUUGGUUGACUAAACCGAUAGAGGGAAGCCAUAUCCGACUUAAUUCAUCCCUGUUUUGGAUUAAGAUUUGUCCAUGUUUACUAGAAUUUGACAAACAAGAUUUAUUGCAUGCUAUUGGAUUCACUUUUGGGGGCGUUCUUAGAUCUAAAGUUAAUGGUGAGUUUUUCGUAUUAGAAUUCAAUUAGAUGUGUAGAAACCUUACGCAGGGGUAUCUUCGUCUCAAUAGUAGUUUUGGAUCUCUUUUAAGUAUGAAAAACUACUUACAUUCUACUUUGGCUAUAGGAAGAUGGGGCAAGGCCUUUAAAAAUGCAUUGAAUUAGCCCUUGCAAAAAAAUAAAAUUAAAGAUAAUCCUCGUUUCUCUCUAGCAUUAAAGGCAGAGUUAAAUUUAAUUAGAAAAGAGAGUUUAAAGUUUAAUGCCCUAUUGAAGAAGAUGCAACCUCAAUGCUCAUAUGUGGGUACUUUGGAGAAGAUUCUUGGGCUGAAUUCACAAGAGGAGACAGCAAGUGAUAUGAUCCAGAAUUAUCCAAGAUAGUUCAAAAUAUGCAAAAUCAGAGAAAGAGAUAAAGUUGCUAAAGGAAGAGAGGCCCGUGGAAGAGAAAUUGAAUGGGAAACAGAAUAAUGUGUAGAAUUUUUUAAACCAGCCAAGAAAUCUAACUGGAAAAGAUUCGAGGCAGUAAGAAUGGUGGAUCAUUAUAGCAAAGAUAGCUUAUUGAGAAAGAGGAAAUCAAUAGAUAUGGAAAUUGGAGAAGAAUGCACAGGACAAGCCGGUGAAGAUGCAGCAAAAAGGUUGAAGCAUGACGAACUAGAUUUGCUCACUAAAAUAGACACAAACUUGUUGGCUGAAAAUCUUCAACUAGUUAAUUCUCCAACCCAAAACAAAUCGGCAGCUGCCAAAAGGCAAACCGACCGAGCACAAUGAAAACCAUAUGCUGAAAUGUCUGUGGAUAGUGGAGUCCACGGGUAGUACGAAAGCUUUGGUAUUUACUGAAGCAACACAAGCCUGAACUAGUCUUCUUGAUGAAAACCAAAAUUGAUGAAAAGCACAUGAAGAAAAUUAAGAGAAGAUGCAGUUUUGCAUAUGGGAUCGAUAUAGGAGCAAAAAGCUUUCGAGGUGGAAUUUGUCUAGCAUUAAAAACAGAAAUUACUGUAUGUCUUAAAAACUUCUCAAAAAGUCAUAUUGAUAUGCUAGUCAAGGAGGCCAGUGUUGAUGAAUAGUGGAGAUUUACAGGGUUUUAUGGUUCACCCUAUGUUAAUAACAAGAACGCUUCAUGAGAUUUGCUGAGGAAGUUGAGUCAAGAGCAAAAUCACCCUUGGCUGGUAUGUGGCGAUUUCAAUGAAAUAAGGUACUCUUUUGAAAAGAGUGGAGGUUAACCAAUGGAGGAGAAAAGAAUGGAAGUGUUCCGAGAGGUUCUAGAGGAAUGUCAAUUAAUAAACUUCAGCUAUUCGGGGGUAUAGUUCACGUGGGAAAGAGAGAACCUACUAGAAACAAAUAUUAAAGAAAAGCUGGAUAUGGGCAUUGCAAAUGAAAAAUGGAUGCAUCUCUUUCCAAAAGGUAAUAUUCAUCAUUUAACACUCAAUUUCAAACCAUUGUCCCCUUUUUAUCAAUUCUAAUAAUGAGAAGAGGCAAAAAGGGUUCCCAAGUUUUAAAUUUGAGGCGUGGUGGACUAUAGAGGAAUCUAUCGAACGAGAAAUCAAAAAAUCUUGGGAGUCAUCAAAUGGGUCCAUUAUUGAAAAACUUGAGCAGUUGCAAAUUAACUUGACAAGAUGGGCAAGCUCAUUGAAGAAAAGUCGAGAUGGUUUGAAGAAUAUGAUCACAAAGGAACUUAAAGAUCUAAUGGCAAAGGAUAGGGAUGAUGACACAAUGGCAAAGCUAAUUGAUACCAGAAUUAGGCUUAAUAUGGAGAUUGAUAAAGAUUAAAUGUAUUGAGAACAAAGGGCACGAGCAAAUUGGCUUCAAUUAAAAGAUAAAAAUUUUACCUUCUUCCACAAUUAUGCCUCAGUUCUUAGGCGAAUCAACACUAUUACUAGGUUGGAAUCAGAGGAAGGAAAGGAAAUUUAAAAUGAGUCAGCAACAAAUAAAACAACCUCUAGCUACUUCUAAAAUUUAUUUUCAUCUAAGGGAGUUGGGGAUUUAGCCCACCUGCUAGAAGAUAUAAAUACUAAUAUUUUGUCUGAUAUCAAUAUAGAUUUGCUUGCAAAAUAUACUACAGGAGAGGUUUUUUCAACUUUGAAAAGGGUUAGGCCCACUAAAGCUCCAAGAUGUGAUGGAUUUUCUGCAUUAUUAUUUUAAAAGUUCUGGCACAUUGUAAGAAAAGAUAUUGAAAGUUUCUAUUUGGGAAUUCUAAAUGAUGGGAAAGACUUCGAAUCUCUAAACCUUACGAAUAUUGUGCUUAUUCCGAAAACUCAAAAUCCCACUAGUUUUGUUAAUUUCAAACCCAUUAGUUUAUGCACAGUCAUAUACAAAAUUAUGGCUAAAACAAUUGUCUUCAAAAGCCAUUAAAAGAUGUAUUGACAACACUUAAAGUGCUUUUGUUCCUGGAAGGUUAAUCUUUGACAAUGUGCUAGUAGCCUACAAACUCUUACACACGUUACGCCAAAAUCGGAUCAGAAAAAAAAGAUUUUAUUGCAGUCAAAUUAGAUAUGAAUAAGGCUUAUGACAGAGUUGAGUAAGGUUUUCUAGGGAGAGUUAUGCUUUGUAUGGGAUUCACAAAGGAAUGGGUGGAUCUACUUAUGAGAUGUAUCUCUACAACCUCUUACACAGUAAAUAUUAAUAGGAUAAGAGGUAAUGUGUUCAAUCCCACUAGAGGAUUGUGUCAAGGUGACCCACUCAGCCCUUUUCUUUUUCUAAUAUAUAGUGAGGGACUUUCAGCUUUAAUAAGAAUAGCAAUAAAUGAAGGAAUGAUAAAGGGAGUGAAGGCUAAUAGAAGAGGAUCGAAAGUAUGGCAUUUAUUGUUUGCAGAUGACUGCAUUCUGUUUGGCAAAGCUACAAGAAAAGAAGCCACAAUUUUAAAAGAAAUUCUAAAUGAGUAUGAACAGUGUUCAGGCCAAUUCGUGAAUUUUAACAAAUCAAAGAUAUUUUAUAAUUCAAAUACAAUAAUAAGGGAUAGAGAGGAGAUAUCAAGUAUACUAGGUGUGAAAUGCUUUACCAAUUUGAAAAAAUACCCAAGACUCCUAACGUGGUAGAAAGACGAAAGAAAAAAGCCUUUCAGAACCUUAAAUAUAGAAUUAAUUCGAGAAUUGAAAGCUAGAGUACAAGGUUAUUGUCACAAGAGGGAAAAGAGGUCUUUAUAAAAUCGAUGCUUCAAGCAAUUCAAACUUAUGCUAUGUCUUGCUUUCUAUUACCAAAGUCUUUAUGCGAGGAGUUAGAAAGUAUUUUUGCUAAGUUUUGGUGGCAAAAAAGAAAAGGAAGGGAAUUCGCUGGUGCCAAUGGAAGUUUACGUGCCGAUCAAAAAAGGAGGGGGGAAUGGGCUUUAAAAGUAUGUCCCAAUUUAAUGUCUCUCUAUUAGCUAAGCAAGGGUAGAGGAUCAUCAAUAAUCAAGAUUCUUUGGUUACGUGUGUUCUUAAAGCCAAAUAUUUUCUGAAUGAUCAUUUUUUACAUUCUCAUUUGGGAAACUCAAGUUCUUAUAUAUGGAGGAGUUUAUGGGCAGCAAAAGGGAUUUUGGAAAAAGGAACAUGUUAAGGGGUUGGUACAGGUACAAAUAUUUCAAUAAUUGAUGAUGCAUGGAUUCUAAAUACAGUUAAUUUUAGAUUAACUUUCGUUGUUAAUUUUAUGCUAGAUUCUAAAGUUAGUGAGCUGAUCGAUAGUAAUGAGAGACUUUGGAAAAAAGAACUAAUAAGCAAUACCUUCUCAGAGGAAGAUGCUGGCAAAAUCCUUCGGAUCCCUCUGGCACGCACGCCUCACGACGAUCUUAUUGUCUAGGGAGGCGAAUACUUAGGAGAUUUUUCGGUUCGUAGCAUCUAUAAACUAUUACAAAAUUUGAAAGAUAAUCCUAGAGCUUAUGCUUUACAAACCGCCUACAGAAAUUUUUACAAAACACUUUGGCUUCUUAAUCUACCAACUAAAAUAAAUGUUAUAAUCUAGAGAAUCUCAUGGAACUAUUUGCCUACGAAGGUUAAUAUGCAUUACAGAAUGCUCGUCAACAAUACUAGAUGCCCCCGAUGUAAAGAAAGAACAGAAAUGAUCAAACCAUAUUUUUCGUUAAUGUCCUGUGGUAGUGGAAGUAUGGACAAUAUUAAAACUCUAGAAUAUUCUUAUGGAUAAUAGUAGAGAUUUUAUUCAGUGGAUUACCUGGACCUUUGAUCAGUUUACACCAAGCCAACGUCGCCUCUUCUGUUGCAGACUUUGGGCCAUCUGGGGAGAAAGAAACAAAAGAUUGCAUGAAAAGAAAAAUAGUACAGACCAAGACAUAGCUAACUUCAUCACCAACUACAUAGCUGAGCUUAAUGGUCUUGAAAGGAAAAAUCCAGAAAAGAGCAAGGAGAUUAGAAGAUGGAGUCACCCACCUAAGGAGUUUGUAAAGAUUAACUUCGAUGGCGCGUAUGAUGGGACUCUCCACUAGUCAACUUCAGGUAUUGUGGUCAGAAAUGAAGAAGGGGCAGUAUUAUUAUCUUGCUCGGAGAUUCAUCAAGGGGUUUUUUUCUGAUUUUGCGGCUGAAGCAAUAGCAUGCCGAAAAGUAGUCCAAGUGGGUUUUGAACAAGAUUGGCCGAAGAUCAUAGUCGAAGGUGACUCCCUCACAGUAAUAAAGAAAUGUAAAAGUAAGAGUCAAGAUCGAUCACAUAUUGGAGCAUAAAUAUCUACUAUUGAACAAGAAAUAAACAGAUCUAGAAGAUUCAAGUUCAAGCAUACACCAAGAUCUGCAAAUGCUCUUGCUCAUAUUUUGGCUACUGAAACAUUGAAAAGAAAAGAGAUGAUUUACCUGGAAAUGAGUGUCCCUAGGUAUGCUGAAAAUCAACAAAGGAUAGAGUGGCAGCGUGAACCAAACUAAGGAAGGAUCGAAGAAGAGGAGAACGAAGAGGAAAGCUAAAGAAGAGAAAAUGAAUUGGUUUUUGAAAAGAAACAACUUUCCCAAUAAAACUGAACCGUGAAAAGAAAAAGCUGAAAUGAUGUAUCAGAUGAUAGUAAAGGUUUCAGUUUUCUGAUUGGGCUUUAAUUAUGUGCAUUUAUUUUUUGAUUCUAGACUCUUCGGAAAUAUUUAGAUAUUUUAUGUUUGUUUUGGGCCAUUUUAGUUUGGGGUCGGUUAUUUAGUUUUAAGGUUUUCUGUUUUCGUUUUUUAGACCGUUUCUAUGUAUAAUUUUAUUAUUAUUUAUUACAAAGCCUAAUCUGGAAGUUUUUCAAAAAAAAAUGUCUUUUACCAAAAAAU